rnacentral:rRNA from 1 species
ACGAGAAUAUUCCGCAAUGGACGCAAGUCUGACGGAGCGAUACCGCGUGAAGGACGAAGUGCUUCGGCACGUAAACUUCUUUUGUCAGGGACGAAAUUAUUGACGGUACCUGAAGAAUAAGGGGCUCCUAACUCUGUGCCAGCAGGAGCGGUAAUACAGAGGCCCCAAGCAUUAUCCGGAAUCACUGGGCGUAAAGGGUGUCGAGGCGGUCAUGUUAGUCGUUUGUAAAAUCCGGGAGCUCAACUUCCGGCCCGCAAGCGAAACGGCAUGACUUGAGAGUUGGAGAGGUGCGUGGAACUCACGGUGUAGGGGUGAAAUCCGUUGAUAUCGUGGGGAACACCAAAGGCGAAGGCAGCGCACUGGCCAAUUUCUGACGCUCACACACGAAAGCUAGGGUAGC